GAAAGGGCAAAUAAAGCCAAAUCCUAUAAAUGCUUUAAAUGGAUCAAUUGGGCCAGUAAUAGGGAAAUAAAAUCAAUUCCAGCUCACUCUGCAGACGAAGUGGCAGUGUCUCCUUUACAACUUAAGCACCUAAAAAAAGCAAGACUGUGUGUGUUCUAAGUUCCAUGCACCAAGAUCGGUGACGGCAGAAAGAGGAAACCCAACACGAUAACAGACUAUAACCACAAAAAGUAUGGUGUAGACGUGUUGGACCAAAUGGUGCGGAUGUAUUCCGUAAGAGCAGCAACACGCAGGUGGCCAGUAGCCAUUUUUACAAUAUGCUGGACCUGGCAGUGGUGAAUGCCUACAUUUUGCACAAGGCAUGUACAGGGUGGACAGGCAAAAAAAGAUUGUUUCUGAGUCUUCUAGCUAAGGAACUUCGUUGCCGAUUCAUGCAGCACUGUCUCUGUUCUCAUGUUUCCAUUGCUGACUUUCACUGUCUCAUCCACGUUACCCCCAUACCUUCAUACUAUGCCUUCUGCCUUGCUCGCUGUUAGCUUUGUAAACUAGUCUACAUCUGUGGUGUGUGAUAACCAGGAAAUGAUACACCAGUGGAUUGAAAAAGCUGCGCAAAUACAAGAAAUGGGCUGGGCUGAUAAUUGCGCACAAUAAGAAGAAAAAAUAUUGACAUUUCACCAAAUAGAUUAAAACUAAAGUAACGAGCCUGUUUCUAAUAUGUAAGAUAUCUGUGUAAAAUUAUAUGAGUAAAAGUAAAAAUGUGUCCAAAAAGUGCCCCUUUAAUUUAUAGUGAACAAUUUAUGAUAAAGUAGCAAAAGCAAAUUGCUGUUUUAAGCCAGCUUGGGACAGUAUUAUGAGUAUUUAUACAGGUCAAAUACAACUAUAUAAAAGUAAAGGGCUUUUAAUACCUUUAAGAGUCUAUUUGUUUAGUCAUUUUUAAAGUGCCUUGAGCUAAGUGAUGAAAAGAAAUGUUGAAAUAUUUUAUGUAAUAUUCGUGACAGAUUUCCUGAACUGAAAAUGUUUCUGAAAAUGGAUGAUUUUCAAAUCUUACUUCCAUAAUUAAAAACAAAAACAAAAAAAACAACAAUUAAACAAACAAUAACAAAAAACUGCAUUUAACUAUUAACUAAGUUUAAAGAUUUGAAAGAAAACGCAAACAUUUUUACAUUAUUUGGGUGAAAUAUGUUUACAGGUUUUAAAAGUUGAUCACUUCAUAAAUCGGAUUUUUUUGUUGUUGUCCUUUUUGCCAUAAAUGUGUUUAAUAUUCUUGUGCCAACAACCCCUUAGAUAAGACCUCCUGAUGUAAAAUCUACAUUCAAAAGUAUCUGUUUGAACAACAAUGACAUAUUCUCUGUGACAGUCACUGAGUUGUGGCUUUGGACUGUCUGAUGAGACAUUUAGUCUUCUGACCUAGAUACUGGAUGUACACAUAUGUAUAUUAUUGUAUCAUUAUUUAUAAUAUAGGAUGUACACAAUUGUAUGAGAUGUCUUUGGCAAUGUUUACAGAGCUUGAAGAGAAUGAUCUUCAGUGGCUGCUACAGAGUUCCCACCUCAAAGAGAUCAUUUAUUAUGUUUUUAUGAUGGUACUGUGCAAUAUAGAUAGAAAAACAUAGCAAUCAUUAGCCAUUGUUUUGUUUACAAUGUGUUGGUCUUAGUAUUCUCUCAGUUAGUGUUUAGCUACUUAUCUCUUAACUCACUGCUGCUCAAUGUCUCAACUGUAAGUGGGUUUGAAUAAAAUAGUCACCUAAAUGAGCUCAUUUGUAAAUGUGAAUUAUCUAGAAUCUGAAAUAAACCUUUAUAAUGGAAACCUUUAUAUUGGAAUGUUAUAUACCAUCUUUUCUUUUGGAUCUUUUUCGUAAAAAAAAAAAAAACACUGGAGAACUCUUGAGAACUAUGAGGACAGAUUUAAGCUGUUAUUAAUAUCAACAGUCUGCUACAAUGUCUGAGUUCUGCAUUU